rnacentral:rRNA from 1 species
UAAAGGCAUGGUCCUGACCUUAUUAUUAGCUUUAACCCAACUUACACAUGCAAGUCUCCGCAACCCCGUGAGUAUGCCCUUAAUCCCCUGCCCGGGGACGAGGAGCGGGCAUCAGGCACAAAUUUUUAGCCCAAGACGCCUGGCCGAGCCACACCCCCAAGGGAAUUCAGCAGUGAUAAAUAUUAAGCCAUAAGGAAA